rnacentral:rRNA from 1 species
CAGCCGCGGUAAUACGUAGGGUGCAGGCGUUAAUCGGAAUUACUGGGCGUAAAGCGUGCGCAGGCGGUUUGCUAAGACAGGUGUGAAAUCCCCGGGCUUAACCUGGGAAUUGCGCUUGUAACUGGCAAGCUAGAGUGUGGUAGAGGGGGGUGGAAUUCCACGUGUAGCAGUGAAAUGCGUAGAUAUGUGGAGGAACACCGAUGGCGAAGGCAGCCCCCUGGGUUAACACUGACGCUCAUGCACGAAAGCGUGGGGAGCAAACAGGAUUAGAUACCCUGGUAGUCCACGCCCUAAACUAUGUCAACUAGUUGUCGGGGAAGAAAUUCCUUGGUAACGAAGCUAACGCGUGAAGUUGACCGCCUGGGGAGUACGGCCGCAAGGUUAAAACUCAAAGGAAUUGACGGGGACCCGCACAAGCGGUGGAUUAUGUGGAUUAAUUCGAUGCAACGCGAAAAACCUUACCUACCCUUGACAUGCCAGGAAGCCCGCAGAGAUGUGGGUGUGCCCGAAAGGGAACCUGGACACAGGUGCUGCAUGGCUGUCGUCAGCUCGUGUCGUGAGAUGUUGGGUUAAGUCCCGCAACGAGCGCAACCCUUGCCAUUAGUUGCUACAUUCAGUUGGGCACUCUAAUGGGACCGCCGGUGACAAACCGGAGGAAGGUGGGGAUGACGUCAAGUCCUCAUGGCCCUUAUGGGUAGGGCUUCACACGUAAUACAAUGGUCGGUACAGAGGGCUGCCAACCCGCAAGGGGGAGCUAAUCCCAGAAAGCCGAUCGUAGUCCGGAUUGUAGUCUGCAACUCGACUGCAUGAAGCCGGAAUCGCUAGUAAUCGCGGAUCAGCAUGUCGCGGUGAAUACGUUCCCGGGUCUUGU